ACCUGGCUCAGGACGAACGCUGGCGGCGUGCCUAAUACAUGCAAGUCGAACGCUUCUUUCCUCCCGAGUGCUUGCACUCAAUUGGAAAGAGGAGUGGCGGACGGGUGAGUAACACGUGGGUAACCUACCCAUCAGAGGGGGAUAACACUUGGAAACAGGUGCUAAUACCGCAUAACAGUUUAUGCCGCAUGGCAUAAGAGUGAAAGGCGCUUUCGGGUGUCGCUGAUGGAUGGACCCGCGGUGCAUUAGCUAGUUGGUGAGGUAACGGCUCACCAAGGCCACGAUGCAUAGCCGACCUGAGAGGGUGAUCGGCCACACUGGGACUGAGACACGGCCCAGACUCCUACGGGAGGCAGCAGUAGGGAAUCUUCGGCAAUGGACGAAAGUCUGACCGAGCAACGCCGCGUGAGUGAAGAAGGUUUUCGGAUCGUAAAACUCUGUUGUUAGAGAAGAACAAGGACGUUAGUAACUGAACGUCCCCUGACGGUAUCUAACCAGAAAGCCACGGCUAACUACGUGCCAGCAGCCGCGGUAAUACGUAGGUGGCAAGCGUUGUCCGGAUUUAUUGGGCGUAAAGCGAGCGCAGGCGGUUUCUUAAGUCUGAUGUGAAAGCCCCCGGCUCAACCGGGGAGGGUCWWUGGAAAC
rnacentral:rRNA from 1 species